UGAGGAAUAUUGGUCAAUGGGUGCAAGCCUGAACCAGCCAUCCCGCGUGAAGGACGACUGCCCUAUGGGUUGUAAACUUCUUUUGUAUAGGGAUAAACCUACCAUCGUGAGGGUAGCUGAAGGUACUAUACGAAUAAGCACCGGCUAACUCCGUGCCAGCAGCCGCGGUAAUACGGAGGGUGCAAGCGUUAUCCGGAUUUAUUGGGUUUAAAGGGUCCGUAGGCGGACUUAUAAGUCAGUGGUGAAAGCCUGUCGCUUAACGAUAGAACUGCCAUUGAUACUGUAAGUCUUGAGUAUAUUUGAGGUAGCUGGAAUAAGUAGUGUAGCGGUGAAAUGCAUAGAUAUUACUUAGAACACCAAUUGCGAAGGCAGGUUACCAAGAUAUAACUGACGCUGAGGGACGAAAGCGUGGGGAGCGAACA
rnacentral:rRNA from 1 species